GUAGCACAGGCCCUGGAUUCAAACUCUACACUCAAAUACUACAGAGAUUAGCAUGGCCCUAGUGCAAGGAUAAGAUGUAAAUUCAAGAAGCGUUCUGUAUUUUG
rnacentral:snRNA from 1 species